GUAGGUGGCAAGCGUUGUCCGGAAUUAUUGGGCGUAAAGCGCGCGCAGGCGGUUCUUUAAGUCUGAUGUGAAAGCCCACGGCUCAACCGUGGAGGGUCAUUGGAAACUGGAGAACUUGAGUACAGAAGAGGAAAGCGGAAUUCCACGUGUAGCGGUGAAAUGCGUAGAGAUGUGGAGGAACACCAGUGGCGAAGGCGGCUUUCUGGUCUGUAACUGACGCUGAGGCGCGAAAGCGUGGGGAGCAAACAGGAUUAGAUACCCUGGUAGUCCACGCCGUAAACGAUGAGUGCUAAGUGUUAGGGGGUUUCCGCCCCCCUUAGUGCUGCAGCUAACGCAUUAAACACUCCGCCUGGGGAGUACGGCCGCAAGGCUG
rnacentral:rRNA from 1 species